UGAGGAAUAUUGGUCAAUGGACGCAAGCCUGAUCCAGCCAUGCCGCGUGCAGGAUGAAGGCCUUCGGGUUGUAAACUGCUUUUGUACGGAACGAAAAGACUCUGGUUAAUACCUGGGGUCCAUGACGGUACCGUAAGAAUAAGCACCGGCUAACUACGUGCCAGCAGCCGCGGUAAUACGUAGGGUGCGAGCGUUAAUCGGAAUUACUGGGCGUAAAGCGUGCGCAGGCGGUUAUAUAAGACAGAUGUGAAAUCCCCGGGCUCAACCUGGGACCUGCAUUUGUGACUGUAUAGCUAGAGUACGGUAGAGGGGGAUGGAAUUCCGCGUGUAGCAGUGAAAUGCGUAGAUAUGCGGAGGAACACCGAUGGCGAAGGCAAUCCCCUGGACCUGUACUGACGCUCAUGCACGAAAGCGUGGGGAGCAAACA
rnacentral:rRNA from 1 species